rnacentral:rRNA from 1 species
UACAGAGGGUGCAAGCGUUAUCCGGAUUUACUGGGUUUAAAGGGUGCGUAGGCGGGCCUGUAAGUCAGUGGUGAAAUCUUCCCGCUUAACGGGAAAACUGCCAUUGAUACUAUAGGUCUUGAAUUCAGUUGAGGUGGGCGGAAUGUGUCGUGUAGCGGUGAAAUGCUUAGAUAUGACACAGAACACCGAUUGCGAAGGCAGCUCGCUAAACUGACAUUGACGCUGAGGCACGAAAGCGUGGGGAUCAAACAGG